rnacentral:rRNA from 1 species
GUGCCAGCAGCUGCGGUAAUACGGAGGGUGCAAGCGUUAUCCGGAUUCACUGGGUUUAAAGGGUGCGUAGGUGGAUAUGUAAGUCAGAGGUGAAAUCCCCGAGCUUAACUUGGGAACUGCCUUUGAUACUAUAUAUCUUGAAUGCCGUAGAGGUAAGCGGAAUAUGUCAUGUAGCGGUGAAAUGCUUAGAUAUGACAUGGAACACCAAUUGCGAAGGCAGCUUACUAUGCGGUUAUUGACACUGAGGCACGAAAGCGUGGGUAGCAAACAGGAUUAGAUACCCUGGUACGUCCACGCCCCUAAACUAUGGAUACUCGACAUAACGCGAUACACUGUGUG